GGAUGAACUGUGGCUAAGUGGCAGAAUAUUUGCUUUGCACGCAGAAGGUCCCAGGUUCAAUCCUUGGCAUCUCCA